rnacentral:rRNA from 1 species
UUUUUGGAGAGUUUGAUCCUGGCUCAGGACGAACGCUGGCGGCGUGCUUAACACAUGCAAGUCGAACGGAGUUAAUUAGGAAGCUUGCUUUUUAAUUAACUUAGUGGCGGACGGGUGAGUAACGCGUGGGCAAUCUGCCCGUAAGAGGGGGAUAACACCUAGAAAUGGGUGCUAAUACCGCAUAACAUCGUGGUGUU